rnacentral:misc_RNA from 1 species
AGCAUUAAUCUGGCAUUUGUCUUGCUUCUUUUGAAUUCUUCGAACACGUUUCGAGUUGGGCUGUGAUCUUAAUAGAUGAUAAUUGGGAGGAGUAUCAGAGCACAAGCAAUAAGAUGAAGCAGAGGAAGAAUAGGAAGAAGAUGAAGAAGAAGAGCAUGAUGAAUCAGGGGACCUCUUCAUUUACUCUGUUCUGGGCACUUCUUUCUCUUAGCUCCUGCAGUAAGAGAGAGAGAGAGACACCAGGAUAGGAAAAAGAAA